rnacentral:lncRNA from 1 species
CAAAAUAAGAAGGGUUUGUUCGUCCUCCGUAAUAUGAAGAGUUUUGACUUCGCCCACCUCUGCCACGUCCUCUGACUGUUUGCCAGGGUGGAUCCAUGCUACAUCAAUAAUCAGAAAUUUGAUUAGUAUACCAUAACAUAUAUUCGAAUAGAUCUUCAUAAAGUGUGUCCUUUGUGAUAAGAUUAACAAUGACCUUUUGUAAUAUAAGCAUGUGCAUAUCCGCAUUUAAAGGAGUUGCUUUUAUAAAAGUGAUUAAGAAUUUUUUAGAGAAGAACUGUAGAAAGAGCUUCAUUAUUCCUUUUAAUCCUGUAAAUAUUAAUCACUUAAGUCAAUAUCAAACCAAUAAAUAUCAUUAUCAAGAAAUUCAUCGUGAUUAAAGAAUAAUUCUUCUUCUAUUAUACCACAAACAAGUUUUUCUAAGAUAAGAAAAUGAAUAUCUUCAUUUAAAGGAAUUCAUUUGAUAACAGUAAUUAUGGUUUUUUCAGAGAGAAAGUACGUGUAAAAAUUCAUGUUAAUCGAUUAAAUAUUCUCUAGAUAGAAAAUCCGACAAAGAAUUUUCGCUACCCUUCUUAUAUUGAAUUUCAAAAUCAAAAGGGGCUAAUUGAGCUUGCGACAUUGCAAAGAUUAAUUUAGAGGAAUCAUGUUUAAAGUCUUUGUUGAACAUGUAUUUUACAGAUUGAGCAUCUUCCUAACUAUAAAUUUUUUAUCAUAUAAAUCAUCUUGGAAUUUUAAAACACAUUUUACAAUAGUAAGCAUUUCAUGAGCCACAGUAGCAUAUUUUUUCUGACUUUCAGACCAUUUACCAAAAUGAAAUCUAACUAAACAUCUAGUGUUUGUAUGGGGAUUAACUUGUUUAAGUAUUCCUCCAUAACCAAUAUUUGAAGCAUCAGUUUCAAUUAUUUUUAACCAAGAAGGAUUAGCUAAGGUUAAACACGGAAGAGUUUGAACUCAUUUUUUGAUUAUUUUAACCAAAUCAGUGUGAACUUGAGUCCAGGGUGUUUUAUUAUUCUUUUUCAGUCUAUCAUAUAAAUGAGCUAAAUCUCUGGAUAGAUUUUCAUAAAAAGGAGAGAUGUAAUUAAGACUACCAAGAAAUCUUUGUAACUGAGUUUUAUCAGUAAUUAUAUCCGGGAAUGUCUUAGCAAAGUCCAUAGCUCUUUGUAUGGGCUCAAUAGUACCUUGGCUAAUAUUAUGACCUAGAAAUCUAACAUUUGUUUGAAACAAGGACAUUUUUGGUUUAGAAACAACCAAACUAUUUUGUAAUACUAUUUGUUUGAACAUAUUAAGAUGUUUAAACUGUAAAUCAAGCGUUUUUGAGAAUACAAGAAUGUCAUCAAUGUAGACAAUUAUAAAAUCCAUAUAAGAAUUAAAUAUAUCAUUCAUAAUCUUCUGAGAUUCAGAAGGAGUAUUUUUCAAGCCAAAAGGCAUAACAUUCCAUUCAUAUUGUCCAAAAGGGACAUUAAAAACAGUUCUAUUAGUAUGAUUUUUAUCAAUUUGAAUUUUUCAAUAACCAGAUUUAAGGUCAAAUUUAGAAAAUAUGUUGGCAUCAUGUAGUCUAGCAAGCAAGUCUUUUUUAUUAGGUAUUGGGUACCUAAUCCAUUUUAAAACUUUAUUCAGGGGUUAUAAUAAUAAUAAUAAUAAUAACAAUAUUAAUAGGAUCUCACUAGGCUAGGGUAUACUGCUCAGCCUGCCAGACCUAUAUAACAAUACCGGGUUUAACCAUAGUCGAACAACUGAACCAAAAGCACCGAUCAAAAUACAAAAUUUUUUUUACAUAACUUGAUGACUGUAUGGAACCUUUUACCCAAACAAGGGGCCUGUCAAAGAUUCAACAAAUUUAUGUUAAACCCAUGUGUCUAGAAGUUCUAAUUGUGCAAAAAUUCAUUCUUUCUUCUUUAGUAUAAUGGGCUAAAGAGGCACAACUUACUAGACGUAAUCACUGAGACAAGGUCAACAUAAACUAUUAAACUCGACUGUACCACCAUUUUGGAACCAAGUAUGUUUGUGUUUGAUAAUGUUAUAAUAUAACGUUUGUGUGAAUGCCUUAAUAUAAUCCCAAUACAUAAAAGUUAUUUAUGAUUGUCCCAUUGGUCCCAUUGACAUAGUUUUUUGAGUCAUGGAGGUAAUUCCCCAUUCUUCUAUGGAAAUAAGCUUUUUGAUGAUCAUUUUGGAGUAUCCAUGUACUCCUGGGGUAGUUUCUCCCAUUACUGCCGGUUUGAACAAGAAUUGAUUCAUAAAAAGUUCUUGUUUUUUAUGAUUCUCCUGCAAAGUAGACAUUAGUGAGCAAGUAUUUUUGAAGUAAUUUCCAUGCUUCGUCAGGGCUGUCUUGAUUAGGUAUAUGAGAGUUUUCAAUAAGAAGUAUCAAUUCUCUGGCUUCGAGCUUUUCGUAUGUUGGCUUAUCUGCAGUAUUUUCUUGGAUUAUUGAAGCAAAUGAGUCUGCUUACUUAUCAAAAAUAUAAUAUUGAAUUUGUUUAUAUAAUAGAUGAUUCUCUAAAAUAUCUUCUAGAUGGAUCGAUGUGCCAAUAGGCUGAGUUUUCGAUGAUUCUACCAUAUUCAGAAUUUUUGCAUUAAUCAAAGUUUUGUUUCCCUGUUGUAAUACUGGGAAAUUCAAACUUUCUGAGCUAUAUGUUGAGUUAUUUCUGUUUCCAUAUGAAGGAUUCUAUCUUCCUCCAUAAUAAGAAGUAUAAUUUUGAUUUCAACCACCUCUUCCGCAUCCUCUGGCUAUUUGCCAGGGCGAAUCCAUUCUGUAAAAGACAUUAGUAUUGGUCAAAUGAUGAAUCAAAAUCAUCCCAGUCAAUUUUGUCUCGUCUAUCUUCAAGAUUAGGAAGAUUUAAAUUAUAUUCAAUUAUUUUACGGAUGAGUUUUUCUAAGAUAAAAAAAUGAAUAUCUUCAUUCAAAGGAAUACAUUUAAUAAUUGUGAUAACAGUUUUUUCAGAGAGAUAGUAAGUAUACAAAUUCAUUAGUUGUUGAAGUAUUCUUUGGAGAGAAAAUCGGGCAAACAAUUUUCACUUACCUUUUUAUAUUGUAUCUUAAAAUCAAAGGGGUCUAGAUGGGCCUUCCACCUGUUAAAUAUUAAUUUAGAAGCAUCAUGUUUAAAGUCUUUAUCAAACAUGUAUUUAACAGAUUGGGCAUCAGUUCUAACUAUAAAUCUUUGGUUAUAUGAAUCAUCUUGAAAUUUUAAAACACACUUAGCAAUAGUUAACAUUUGAUGGGCCACAAUGGCGUACUUUUUCUGACUUUCAGACCAUUUUCCCGAAUGGAAUCUAAUAAGACGUUCAGUUUUAUCCUAGGGAUUUACUUGUUUAAGUAUUCCACCAUAACCAAUAUUGGAUGCAUCGGUCUUGAUGAUUUUUAACCAAUCAGGGUUAGUUUGAACUCAUUUUUUAAUUAAUUUAACGAGAUCAGUGUGGACUUGAGUCCAAGGGUUUUUAUAAUCCUUCUUUAGCCUAUCAUAUAACGGGGCUAAAUCUCUAGACAGAUAUUUAUAAAAAUGAGAAAUAUAGUUAAGACUUCCAAGAAAUCUCUGCAACUGAGUUUUAUCAGUAAUAAUAUCAGAGAAUUUUUUAGCAAAGUUCAAAGUUCUUUGUAUGGGAUGAAUAGUGCCUUGCGAAUAUUAUGUCCUAGAAACCGGACAUUCGUCUGAAACAAGCUCAUUUUUGGCUUAGAAAUAACCAAACCAUUUUGUAAAACAAUUUGUUUGAACAUGUUUAGGUGUUUAAAAUGUGAUUCAAGCGUUUUUGAGAACACAAGAAUAUCAUCAAUGUAGACAAUUAUAAAAUCCAUAUAAGGAUUAAAUAUGUCAUUCAUAAUUUUUUUGAAAUUCAGAAGGAGCAUUUUUCAAAUCAAAUGGCAUAACAUAACAUUCAUAUUGUCCAAAAGGGACGUUAAAAGUAGUUCUAUAAGUAUGAUUUUUAUCAAUUUGAAUUUUUCAAUAACCAGAUUUAAGGUCAAAUUUAGAAAAUAUGUUGGCAUCAUAUAGUCUAGAAAGCAAGUCUUUUUUAUUAGGUAUUGGGUACCUAAUCCAUUUUAAAACUUUAUUCAGGGGUUUAUAAUUAAUGACUAGUCUAGGCAUACCACGUUCCUACUCAGCAACAUUAUUGACAUAGAAGGGAGUACAAGACCAAGGGGAUUUUGAGGAUUUUACAAGACCUUUUUGCAAAACACUAUCAAUCUUUUUUUUUUACAGAAUUCUACUAACUCUGUAUUCAUUUGGCAGGGUCAAGAUUUUAUGGGUAUUUUUUCUUCACUGAAAUCAUCUUCAUAAGGAAGAGAAACAAUAUGUUUCUUGCGAUCCCAGGAGGCAUUUGGGUGAUCAGCACAAAUAUCAAUAGUCAAUUGAUCAGAAAUCAUUUUUAUUUUUUCUUGGACUUUUACAUACUUCAUUGACUCAUGAAUAUUCAUACUCAUUAUUUCCAAUUGUAAGAAAUUUUCCUAUCGUUGCUUCAUACUAAUUAGAGCAUUUAUAUCUCUUGUUGCAGGAUCAGUAACAAAAGGAAAAGAAGUUUCUUUAUUUUUAUAAGUAACCUUAAAACUAGUCGCAUCGAUAUGCGUAUAAGGAUAAAUAACAUAUAUAACUGAUUUUUUUACCAAAAAAAUAAAAUGCGGAAUGCAAACCUUAUUUCGACAUAUAUGAGUACUAGGCAAUUUAUAGUUAAUAUCAAGUUUAUGACCAGAUGCAGACUUAAUUAUAUGGGUAAUUUUUUUAAAAUAUUUGGUUGGAAUUAAACCUUCUUGAAUGCAGCUGACAUCAACACCACUAUCAAUCAUAGCUAUAUUAGUGAUGGAAAAUUCGUUAUUAAUUAAUAUAGUGCAAUUUAUAUACCAUUUAUGAGCAGUAAUAAUUUGCACUAUCAUACCCAAGAAAUAAUCAUUCUUUGAAUCUAUUUUCUGAAUAAUAUUAUCCAUAUUUUGAGAAUUUUUAAAAUCCUUUUCUUUCCCUUUAGAAUUAGAAGAAGUAGUAUUUUCAGAAAUGUUAGAAAUAUCUUCUUCAAUUUUCAAAAUCCUAUGAUCUGAGACCAUCUGAUUUCGCUUUAAAGAGAUAAUUUCCUUCUUUAAAUUUUCAACUUCUGUUUUCAAAUCAUCAAAAUUUGUAUCUCUUCCUGGAGUUUGACUAAUAGCGAGUCUUCUAUUGACUUCGUAAAUAGAAUAAGGCAUGAUAUCAAUAUUAGAGUCAGUAUUUUUCUUGACAUAUUUACUAUUGGUAGGUUUAGUAUUACUAGAAUUGUUGGUUGAUGUAGAAGCAAGAUCAAUAAUGUUUUGACGAAGCUUCUCAUCAGUUACUUCUUUUAGUAAUUCUAAAGUGCUAUCAGCAAUAAUUGUGCAAACAUUUAACUCUAAAUCUUCAAUUUGAGAUUGAAGUUUAUAAAAUGCAUCAUCACAAUCACAAUUAUCAGCAUUACAAUCAGAACAACAUUAGUCGUAGGUUUUUCAUUAUCAGAAGAAUUAGGUAAAUCAAUAUCAUUUUUAGAUUAGAUUCAUAAUCGAAUUCAGAACCAGAAGUAUAUAAUAAACCAUAGACUUGGUCAUGCAUCUCAUCAGAGAGUGCUAAAGACUUGAGUUUUUGAAGUUUACCAUUGGGAGCUAUAUGACCAUAUUGGUUGCACCUAUAACACUUGAUUUUUGCUAGGUCUUUCUUAGACUUAUUUUUCGUAAAUCUAGUAGACUUACGAUUGAAUUUUUUAACUUCACGCUCAUCUUUGGAUCUACGUCUAGAUCUUUUUAUUCUAUAGAAUUUGUCAGGAUUAUCGUAUCCACGACCCUUUCUUCUAGUAAAAGAAGGAUUUUCCAUACGAAAUUGUCCAUAAAAAUCACCUAAUUGGGUUUUUUUCUCUAAUUCUAUCUAGCUUAAUUUGUCUAGAUAGUUUCAAUUCAUUACAGAAUUUUAGACCUUCUUCAGUACAAGAUGCUAGAAGUUGUCCAUAAGUGAAAUCUGUCCAAGAGAUUGCACCAUCUUGACCUUUGAUGGCUUUUCUAACUCUUUCAGCAAAAAGUGGUGGAAGACCAUCUACAAAUCUAGCCUUCCAAUGUUCAAGUCUAGAUUCGGGCAGAUCCAUGACCCUAGAAAGAAAAGUAUCUUUAUACCAUCUAAAUUCGUCCAAAUGUCUACACCUUAGACUAUUUAAGAGGGUACGAGUGUUUUCAUGUUGGUUAGUAAAUCUACCCCCAAAGUGUUGAAUUAUGAUAAGCAUAAGGGUAUAUACGGCAUCUUCUCUAUUUGCUGAAAGAUCUCUACCUAGGUUAUCUAUCCCAGGCAAGAGGUUUCUGGCUUCAUAAAUCUUAUUUCUUUCAUCAUUAGAAAGGAGAUUAUCCCACCAGCCCCGAAGUUGGCCAGUAAAACCUGCAAUAAUCAUUUUAUAUAUAGUAGCAUCUGUGCGAAUAUGUGCACCUGCAUCGUCUUUAGGGCUAGAAACUUUUGUAAUAGUAGAAUACAUUAACAUACGAUGAACCAAAAUAGAUAAUUGUCUUUCAGAUAAUCCAUCUAAAUUCCUUUCAUAAAUAUGUUCUCCACUAUACGAAGUGUUUGUGAGGGACUAAUCUCUUUCUUCAAUCAUAACAUCUUGAGGAGUUGGUCGUGGGUAAUAAGCAGUUUGCAUUCAAGGAAUAUCAACAUAUUUCUUCCCCGGCUGUUUUCAUACCAAACCUCUGAGUUUAUUCAACUCUGAGUGAAUUUCUACUCCUACCGAAGGGGUUUUGGUAUCAUCAAAAUUAUUAGUUAAGGAUUCUAUAGUAUCAACAAAAUUAUUAGACUAAUCAAUGGGUUUUAUAUUUAAACUAGAAAAUUUCUUUUCAAAUAAUUUUUCAAGUUGUUCUAGAUCAGAGGGUUUUCUAAAUCCUUCAAUGUCAAUGUUAGGAGGUCUUUGAAUACGAGGCUUAGCUGUCAAGUCUUCUGUCUUGCUUUUUGAUGUAGAUGCAAUAUUAGAAGACUUUUGACUAUCACUUAGCCCUUUGAUUAGAUCAGUCAUCACAUCAAGUUUUUUAUCAAGAGAGGAAAUAUGUUCUCCCAGAGCCUUUACAUAAAGACUCAGAUAGUUAGUUUGAGCGAUUAGACUAUUCAUUUCAGAAAUAGUGAUUUUUCCAACUUCAUUAUCAAUAAAUUGUUAAAAGGCAGAGAAGGUUAGACCUGUAUUAUUAGGCAAUAUAAAAGAUGAUUGAGUAGGAUAAAUAACUUGUGUUAUAGUACCAUUUGAAUCUUGAUAAGAUCUUUCAAUAACCUUGACAUACAAAGGCAAAUAUGUAGACAUAAACCAUGGCACAAAGUAAACAUUUUGACUAUGCAAUGCACACAUUUCAUAAAAUUCUUCAGAGAUGUUUUUUAAUUCAUCAGAACAAUAUACUUCAAAAAACCAAGUUCUAAAAGUUUUCCAUUUUGCAGAGAAGAAUUCCUUUUUAAUAUAAUUUCUUGCCUGUGUUCCAGGACUAAAAUCAAUUAGUUGUGUCAUCAUAAUUUAAACAGAGUUAAUAUCAAAUUCCAUUUCAGAUGGAGUAGGAUUUUCAUUAUCAAAAUCUUGAACUAUAUUAUUUUUAGGAUUUAUUUUAAUUUUUUCUACACUUCUAGGUGUAACAUGCGAUUCUGCAGAAUUUAUAGUAUGCAAAGAUGCAACAAUAUUCCUAGACAGACCAUAAACUGGUUUGACUGGGAAAAUAUAGGUCAUAGCAAGCAACAUCCUAGGAAUAGAAAAGGAAUUUCGAUUGUAAACAGUAGAAUUAUCAUCAAAUUAUAGACAAAUUCUCCCAUCAGUAUUUUGAUACAUGAGUUAACUCUUUAUUCGUCACAUCCUCUGCAAGUUGCUUUGGAGAAAUGACAGAAUUUAAAAUCCAAGUUUUUGGGAAAUUAAGUUCAUCCCACUUAAUAGGUCUUCUUGUAGUGACCCUGGAUUUUGUAAAAUUUAUUUCAAUUAGUAUGGUAUAAUCUGAAGCAUCAUCAACCAAUUUACAUAGGAUUCAUAGUGGAUAAUAAGCGAAAAUAAAUAUGAUAUGAUAAACAAAUAAGUUCAGAUCCUGAUCCAUAAUUGUAACCAUGGGUUUUUACAUUUAGAGCUAAAGCAUCAAGAAUAUUUACAUCAGUCAAAGAUAACUGUAGAUUUGGUUAAGUAUUAAAAUAUGCAGGGCCAGAUGCAAGAGUGGACUCAAUAGAUCCCAUCAGAGACUGUCUAAAAUUUAAAUUUCUAGCAUCGAGUUGGGUAGCUAGAAAGGUCUCUGGGAGUCCUUUUAAAGUUAGGUGCUUAAAAGCAAUCUGUACCAAGCCAAUAUGCAUAAAAUUAUAAUGAUUUUUAAAUAUAUCAAUAUCAUGUUUAUUAGGCAGUUUAAUAGUUUGUUCAUCAACAUUUAAGGCAAUAGAUUGUUUAGUGGUUUUUAUUAGUUAUUUGUAUUUGAAUUUAUCAAGAAAUCCAUAUUCAUAAAUAGUAUUUAAUUUUACUUGAGAAAUUGUCCAUUUAUUUAAUAAGUCCAUAUUUUGAGGUAAAUCUACCUCUUCAAGUUUAGUACCUUUCAUACUAACUUCUCCCAUAUCUAUGAUUAUGAAACCUUAUACCAUAUGCUAAAAAACUUCACCUCACUUACAAAAUUACUAUUAAAGUUCCUAGGCUCUGAUAAUAAUGGUGGUGGUGGUGGUGGUGGUGGUGGUGCAGAAGGUAACAAAUAUUAUAGGGGUAACCGCUAGUGAGAGUGCUGAGUUAUCUGCCUAUCAGUUGUAGGAUGUAGCUCAUACAUGGUUUAAGCAGUGGAAGACAGAUAGGGCAGCAGAUGCAGGGCCUAUAGAAUGGGAGGAGUUUGCUACUUUCUUCCCGUUGGAGUUGAAGGAAGCCAAGGUUUUAGAGUUCAUUAAUUUGAAGCAAGGCAACAUGACAAUGAAAGAGUAUUCUCUUAAGUUUACUCAGUUAGCCAGAUAUGCUCCUCAUGUGGCAGCGGAUAGCAGAUCUAAGAUGAGUAAGUUCAUGUCUGGUGUGUCUGACAGUGUGGUCAAAGAGUGUAGGACCACAAUACUAAUUAAGGAGAUAGACUUAGCUAGGUUAAUAGUCCAUGUUCAACAGAUAGAGAAGCAGAAGACUAAAGAGAAAGAGAGGGAGAGCAAGAGGGCUAGAACAGGUGGUUCAACUUCACUCAGCCUAAGUCAGAGGGUGGUAAUCGUUCUCAGUUUCACACAAAAUCUUUAGUUUCAACUCUGUCCUCAACCAGUGCUUCGGUGCCUAAAUUCAAAAAUGGUAAUAAGGAUAGGGUACCAGGCUCUAAAUCUCAAGGUAUUGUUAGCAGUACCCAAACAAAUCCUUUUUGCCAGAAGUAUGACAGAAACCAUCAGGGUGUCUGUAGAGCUGGCAGUGAUGUAUGUUUCGGAUAUGGCAAGCUAGGCCACAGGGUAAGAGAGUGUAUCCUCAGGUGGGCUCAUAGAGUCAGCAUAAUCGUCCCCCAGCUCAGUCCGGUUGCUCGUCUCAGUAGGGUUCCACUUCCAGUGCCACCAGUGGGCAAUGCCCAAAUAGGCUUUAUGCACCUCAGUCCUAAUAGGAUUAGGAAAGUUCUCUUGAUGUGAUCACUGGUACAUUACAAGUUUAUUAUUUACAUGUUUAUGCUUUGCUAGAUCCAGAAGCUUCUUUGUCCUUUGUAACUCCUUAUAUAGCUGUUGACUUUGGAGUUAAUCCUGAAUUCCUAGAAGAGCCCUUCUCAGUCUCUACCCCAGUAGAUAAAUCUAUCAUAGGUUGGUAAGUAUACAGGAACUGUAUGGUUAUGGUAUCUCUGAAAGUUACUUCAGCAGACUUAGUAGAGUUAGAGAUAACAGAUUUUGAUGUCAUUCUCGGCAUAGAUUGGAUUCAUUCAUGCUAUGCUUCAGUUUGACUAUAGAAAUAGAGUUGUCUAUUUUCAAUUCUCGAAUGAACCUGUCCUAGAAUGGAGGGGUAGUAAUUCAACGCUUAAGGGUCAACUUAUUUCCUACCUUAGAGAGAGGAAAAUGAUAUCUAAGGGGUGUGUCUAUCAUCUCGUUCGAGUUAAAGACUCUAGUUCUGAGACCCUUAAUCUGGAGUCAAUUUCAGUAGCAUGUGAAUUUCCAGAUGUGUUCCCCGAAGAUCUUCCCAGAGUUUCUCCCAAAAGGGGAAUUAACUUUGGAAUAGACCUUCUUUUAGAUACUCAGCCUAUCUCUAUUCCACCAUACAGAAUGGCUCCAGCAAAACUCAGAAAGUUAAAAAAUAGUUGAAGGAUCUCCUAGAUAAAGGAUUCAUCAAGCCCUGUUUUUCCCUGUAGGGCACCCAGUUCUAUUCGUGCAUAAGAAAGACGUUCUCUCAGAAUGUGUAUUGACUACCAUUUGUUGAACAAAGUCACAGUCAAGAAUAAGUAUCCACUUCCCAGAAUCGAUGACUUGUUUGACCAACUUCAGGGUGCCAAUUAUUUUUUUAAUAUAUACUCAGGUCAGGCUAUUAUCAACUUAGAGUUAGAGAAUGUGACAUUUCGAAACCAGCUUUUAAAACUCGGUAUGGUUACUUCAAAUUUCUAGUCAUGUCAUUUGGUCUUACCAAUGCUCUAGCAACUUUCAUGGACUUAAUGAACCGAGUGUUCAAGCAAUACUUGGACAUAUUCAUCAUAGUCUUUAUGAUGACAUUCUGGUCUACUCUCGCAGUGAAAAUGAUUAUGCAGACCAUCUCAGAAUAGUAUUACAGACUCUCAGAGCCCAUCAAUUAUUCACAAAAUUCAGUAAAUGCAAAUUUUAGCUAAGGUCAGUAGCUUUCCUUGGUCAUAUAGUUUCCAAUGAUGGCAUUAGAGUUGAUCCUCAAAAAACUAAAGCAGUGAGAAACUGGUCUAGACCUAUCUCUCCGUCAGAUAUCAAGAGUUUCUCGGGUUUGGCUGGCUAUUAUCGAUAGUUUGUUGAAGGAUUUUUGUCUAUUGUAUCCCCCAUGUCCAGAUUGACUCAUAAGAAAGUCAAGUUCCAGUGGUCAUAUUUUUAUGAGAAGAGUUUUAAAGAGUUGAAGAUUCGACUCACUACAACCCCAAUUUUGACUUUACCAGAUGGUUCAAAUGAAUUUAUUCUGUAUUGUGAUGCUUCCAGAGUUGGUCUGGGGUGUGUUUUGAUGCAGAAGGGUAAGGUAGUGGCCUAUACCUCUAGAUAGCUUAAGCCCCACAAAAAGAAUUACCCCACCCAUGAUCUUGAGUUAGCAGCUGUUGUGUUUGCCUUAAAGAUUUGGAGGCACUAUUUGUAUGGGGUUCCAUUUUAUGUGUUCAUAGACAACAAAAACCUACAGUAUGUAUUUUCGCAGAAAGAUUUGAACUAGCGUCAGAGAAGGUGGUUGGAGUUGUUUAAAGAUUAUGACAUGAGUGUUUUGUAUCACCUGGGCAAGGCCAAUGUAGUAAUUGAUGCUCUCAGCAGGUUGCCCAUUGGUAGUGUUUCUUACUUUGAGUAUGUUUAGAAUAAGUUAGUUCAGGAAGUUCACCAGCUUGCCAGGCUAGGUGUCCAUUUGGUUGAUUCGGCAGAAGGUAGUGUUUGGGUGCAGAAUGGUUUGGAAUCAUCUUUGGUUUUUGAAGUAAAAGAAAAAUAGGACAAAAGUACCAGUUUAGUUAAGUUGAAAGAGUUAGUCAGAGAUCAAAAAGUAAAGAUUUUCUCCCAAGAGGAAGAUGGUGUGUUGCAUUGUCAGGCUAGGUUAUGUGUUCCAUUUGUAGAUGGCGUGAGGCAGCGAAUUUUUGUAGAAGCGCGUGGUACGUGUUACUUGAUUCACACAGGGGCCACUAAGAUGUACCACAAUUUGCGAGAAGUCUAUUGGUGGAGUGAGAUGAAGAAACACAUUGCAGAGUUUGCGGCUUAGUACUAUACAUGCCAGCAGGUAAAGAUUAAGCACCAAAAGCCUAGUGGUUCUAUGCAGGAGUUCAGUAUCCCCACAUGGAAGUGGAAGAAAGUGAAACAUAGAUUUUGUGAUGGGCUUACCUCAUACUCGUUAUCAGCAUGAUUCGAUUUGGGUCAUCGUAGACAGGAUGACCAAAUCAGCCUAUUUUUUGCCAGUUCAUACCUCAUAUUCAACUAAGGACUAUCCCAGGAUCUAUAUCAAAGAUUUGUUCAAGUUGUACGAUGUCCCGUUGUCCAUCAUUUUGGAUAGAGCUACGCAGUUCACCACUUGCUUUUGGAACGCCUUCCAAAAGGGUCUUUGUACCUAAGUUUACCUCAGUACAGCUUUCCACCCUCAGACAGAUGGUUAUGCAGAAAGAAACAUUCAAACCUUAGAAGAUAUGUUGAGAGUGUGUAUCAUUGACUUUAUGGGUAGCUGGGAUGACCAAUUACCUUUGAUUGAGUUUGCGUAUAACAACAGCUAUUACUCUAGUAUUCAGAUGGCUGUAUUUGAGGUGCUUGGUUUGAGGUAGGCGAGACUGAUUUAGCAGGGCCUAACCUAGUAUUCAAUACCUUAGAAAAGGUUCAGCUGAUCAGGGAGAGGAUUAAGACAGCUCAGAGCCGAUAGAAAUCGUUUGCUAAUAUGAGAAGAAAGGAUCUCGAGUUUGAGGUUGGUGAUUAUGUGUAUUUGAAAAUCUCUCCCAUGAAGGGAGUGAAGAGAUUUGGCAAGAAGGGGAAGCUUAGUCCCUGAUAUUUUGGUCCUUAUAGGAUUCUCAAUGGCCUCGGCAAGGUAGCUUAUGAGCUUGAGUUACCUGCAGACUUAGCAUCAGUGCACCCAGUAUUUCAUGUCUCCUUGCUAAAGAAGUGCAUAGGUGACCCAGCAGUUAUAAUCCCUAUAGAGAGUAUAGAUGUUCAGAAUAGUCUCUCUUAUAAGAAAAUCCUAGUCAAAAUCCUUAAUCAUUAGAUUCGCAGACUAAGGAACAAAGAAGUUCCUUUGGUCAAAGUUCUUUGGCGGAAUCAGUCCGUUGAGGGGGCUACUUGGGAAGUAAAAGCAGAUAUGCAAACCAAGUAUCCUCACCUCUUCUCCGCAAACUCUAACUCAGCCUAAGGUAACGAUCUUCCUUAGAUUUACUCUAUCACAUGCUUAGUUAUAGAUGCAUAACAUUCUCAUAUCAUUCAUGCAUUCAUGAAAUAGUUCAGUCAUGUAUCAAGUUUUCAGAAUUUAAUCAUGCUUCAGUUAUGCAUGUCAGUGUAAGUACAGUUCAAUAGUUCCUCUUAGUUCAGCCAGUCUUAUUCGAGGACGAAUAUUCCCAAGGGGGAGAUAUUGUAAUACCCCAUAAAAUCCAAGUCAUUUCAGUCCUAACAACAUUACAAAAGAGGUCCCAGACUUAGAAAAAAUUCAGCUAAGUAUUGACACUUAAUCUCAUUUUUGGCCUUGAUAUUUCAAUGACUUUAUUUUUUAUCUUUCCGGCCUUGGAUUAUCAAUUUUUAAAUUAAUUUAUAAUCGGGGAUGUCAAUAGGUUAUGUUGGUGAGUUUCAGAAUUUUUGGACUUCGUUUAAGUCAUGUUUGGAUGCCCAAAAUAGUGCAUCAACGUGAUCAGGCCGCGAUGCAUCAAUAAUCGCGUCGGCAAGCACGUCGACACCAUUGAAGCGAUGCGUCAAGUAUCAUAUUGAUGGGAAAUUUCUGUGUAUUAAAAUCUAACUUUUCAAGGGCAAUUAGGUUCUUUUUCCCUCACCCAAUUCAGCUAAAACACGAGAUUAAACCCCAAAAAGGGCAAAAUUUAUUCUUUAUUCUCAAAAUCCUCACAUGAACAAACCCUGGUCCAUCAAAUUCAAGAUCAAGUUCCAAGAAAUUAUCUAGAGUCUAUAAUAAAUCAACAAUCAGGUUAUGUUAGGUGUUCAUCCUUGGGUUCCUUCCACCCUUGGAGUUCAAUAACCUUUUUUAAAACUACAAGUUUAUUGAUUUAUGAUUUACAUGUGCAAAUUGGGUUGUAUUCAUGUUUGUGUUGUUGUAUGAGUUUCAAUUCAAGAUUUUGUUAUGAGUUUCAUGAACAUAAGAUAGCAUGUAUGUUGAUGAAUGUAAUUCCCAUGUUACAAUCAUUGGAAUUGAAAGUUUAAGUUGUAGUCAUGAUGCUUAUGUGUUGUUCAUUAUUAUGUAUAACAAUCAUGCUCCCCAAGUGUUUGAUAGAAUGUCCAUGUGAAUUGAAUAGUGUAAUCAUGACAUGUUAGCAUGUGUUCUCAUUCAUGUAUGAGUUCAUGGCCUUCAAGUGUUUGGCAAAUUGCCCCAGUGAAUGAAUUAUGAACAAUUGACUAUUGCUAUACUUUCAAGAAUUACUAUGUUUUACCAUUUAUGCUAUCGAAUUCUGGGGGUAUUUAUUACCUAAAAUAUAGUUGUUUACUUAGUUGCAGUAGAUAUAGAAUAGUCUCAGUAAAGGUCAAGAACAGUAGUAUUUAAUAAGUUAACAGAACUCAGCGAACUCAGUCCAGUUCAGUUAGUCAACACGAUCAGUAAUAGUUCAGUCAAGCCUAGUACAGUCUAGUGAUUAGUUCAGUGUCUAUUCAAUUGGGAGUAGGAUUCAACACCGAGCGAACCCAGGGAUAGGGGCAUUCUUUCCAACAGAGGAUUUGACCCUUAGUAGCAGUCCUUAUAUUACAGAACUACAUUGCCAGCUUAGGGUAAGUCAUCCUCCUACCAAAUUAGGGUUGAUGCGAUCAUAUAUAUACAUUUCAUGAGUCUUCCUACCAGACUAGGUUUGACACAACAUUGUUAGUAUCCCUUGGCAAGGUGUUAACACUCUUCCAACGGGGUCACACGUUGGACCCCAACUCAUUCUAUAACUAGGGUAUGUCAGUUAGAUGAAUACUUUCAUAGUUACAGUUUUAGUAUUCAGUACUCAGUAAUUAGUAUUCAGUCUUAGAAUUUAGUAAAGAAGGUUGACAGUUCUACAGAAUCAUGGCUAUCAGUUAUUAGUUACUUAGCCAUUAAAAUUUAGUUCUUCUAUAUUAUUCUAAGCAUUUAGUUAUCAUUAUUCAGUUACCAGAACACAUUACAUCAGUGUCGAUCUAAUCCAAAUAGAUAUUAUGCAUAGCAUUGCAUAUUCAGCAUGUUCAGUAGUUACAGUUUUGCAUGUACUCUCAUCUAGUUACUUCAUGAUGUUCAUUCAGUUAGUUAUCAUCUAACGCAUAUGAACCCAUGUAUAUCAACCUACCUCCCUUAGAAUACUAGUACAUUCUGCGUACUGAUGCAUACUUUUUCAUUGCGCUAUGAUGUCUCAUAUCAUAGGUUCAGACGUACGGGUUCCCGACCAUACUUAACAGCUCAGGAUAUUAGCUGCAGAUUUAGUAGUGAGUCCUCAUCCAUCGAGGGUACUAUUUUACUUCAGUAUAUCAGUGUUUCAGUUAGGUCAGUAGUCGGAGUUAUUUGGGGACUUAUCCCAUCAACUCCUAGUCAGACAGUUAGAGGUUUUGGGACUAGACUAUUUCAGAUAGAUAUUCAGUAGUUUUUUAGUAUUAUUAUUAGUAUCCAGUUAUUAUUUUAGUAUUUUGAGAACCCUAUGGCAUUAAUAGUUAUACUUCUGCAUAUAUUUUUAGAAUUAUUAUUCAGUGCUCACAACAGGUACCAGUCAUGGGUUAGCUUGUGAUCCCUUGGGGUUGUAAGCACCGUGUGACGUCCAGGGUGUAGAAUUUGGCGUUACACCUACAUAUCUCAAAUUUUAUGAGAAGUCAGGUCAUUUGUAGUUCGAAACAAGCAAAAUUUGAUAAAUAUCAAAAUUUUCCCCAGUGUAGAAUUAUGGUGACAUUGGUUCCUUCGAGAAUAAUAACAAAAAGUUUAGCACAAACGGAAUGGAAACUGGUGCACUUAACCCUGAAUUAGUUUUUUGAGAUGGCUGGGAAUGAGGAGACAUUGGAUAGUAAUAUCUACUGAGGAUCUUAAGAGAAAAGGGGAUUGUGGGUUUUCAACUACUGCCCCAAUGUCUCAUUAAGACGACACUAGACUAUGACACUAAGGAAAAAAGAGAUGACUGACCCGAGUUGAGUUGAGUUUCUUUGUUGAAAUCCUUGACGUAGCUAGGAAUGCUUGACAUUCUGCUAGAUUGCCCCAGUUUACUACUAAGAGAGUUAUUCCAUGUUGUACCGCAUGUUUCUAUAAAAUAGGUAAAAGAGGGUGAAAAGUACCUGUUGUUCAAAAAUUUUAAAUUAAAAUUGUAAUAUAAAGAGUAGAGUUAGAUAUUCAAACUAGUAUUAUGAUCUCCAUUUGUGAAGGCCUCCGACUGACGGGGCAAUAACUGAUAUAUAAAUAGCCUCCGCCAGCUGAGCAGGUGCUUGAAAGUAAAUGCCUCCGACUGGCGGGGCAGUUUCUCAAAAAUAAAAGCCUCUGAUUGGUGGGGCGAUUGCUUGAUAGUAAGAGACUCCGUCGGCUGAGCAGUUGUUGUAAAAUCAAAGCCAUCUGACUUGUGAGCUGUUGAGCCAUACGACUGGCGAGAAACUGGAAAAUAAUCCAUCCGACUAGCGUGUAGUUAAUGAAAAAAUAAAUACCAUCCGAUUGGAGGGUAGUUGUUGAGAAGUAAGUGUCAUCCGACUGGCGAGCAGUGUUUGAAAAGUAAAGCCUCCGAUGGCGAGGUAAUUGCCUAAAAGUAGCCACCUUUUACUAAUAAGGCGACCUUCGGUCUGAACUAUAUGGUGGUAUUGCUGUUGGAAUUUGAUGCCACUGCCAUAGUGGCUUUUUUGCUGCUUACUAUGGUGUGAGUCUCUGAUUGGUAGACUGUGCUCGGUCUGCAGAAAUGUGAUUCUCUAAUAUGGCAGAGCGUUUGUUUGCUUAUGUACAUUUUUUGAUUUAUAGUAGGGUGUCCCCCUUGCUGGUGCAUGCUUCCAUUAUAGUGGAGAUUCGUAUUGCUUAUUUACAUUCUCCAAUAUGGCAGAGGGUCGCUUUGCUUGCAUUUAUACAGUCUUUGAAAUGUGGAACUCGACUUUGUUUGCUUAUGUACAAUCUUUGGAACAAGGAAGCUUGACUUUGUUGAAGUCAGACGACAUUCUUUGAUUGGUGGAGUUACUUGAUGCAUUUAGGCGAUGAUUCUUUGAUUGGGAAAGUAAUUUUAUGCAGUCAGGUGGUUAGCUUCGAUUGGUGGAGCUUAUUGGAAGAAUUGAAAUAGCCUAACUUUUCUAUAAGGGCCCUCUUUCUUCAUUGCCUCUAACACGAGUCUUUAAUGUACCUGUAAGGAUUCAAAUGAAAUGUUUAGGGCUUGUGAGGAUAAAGGUAUUCAAAAAAUGAAGUAGGGGAAGAGUAUUUUGGCUGAUGUUGCUGUGAUAAGUUGCAUGAUGUCCCUGAUUCUAUCCCAAAGCUUGACUUGAUGUCAUCUUCCAAUUCCUAUUUUCCUGCGCUCAAAGAAAAUUCUUAGUUGGGAGGGGGUGUUGAUUUGUGUCGACUUAGGAAUCCCAACUUUGUCCACGGAAUACUCCAACACUCCCUCGGCUGCUUGAUCAUUCCCCAAAUCUAGAGUCUCGGUAGGUGGGAAAGUAGGAAAGUAUUUUGAAAUAUAUAUAUGUUUUCGCAAAGGUAUUAUGUAUAUAUUAAGUAUGUAUAGUAAUCCUUUAUCGUUUUUAGAUUAUGACAUGUUCCAAAAUUUGUUAAGCCUCCGCUCAUCAAUUACGAUUCUCGUAGCUUUGUCCCUUGGGUGGAACUCCUCUGACUUUACCGAUGCUAUGGCCGUUCUGGCAGCAAGAUCGCUUAUAUUCUGGGGCUAUACUAUGAGCGAAGGGUUUUUUUCUAAAGGUAAGACCGAACCUUUAAGGUUGCCUACGUAAGCUCGAGAUAGUAAUCAGGUUUGUACGUAGUUCGAGGGUAAAGAAAAAUACAUGAAAUGCAGUGACCGAGUCUGACUCAGACUGCCUAGGUAUCCAAGUGGAAUCAGGUCAUGACGUAGUUCAAACACAACGAAAAAAGUGAAAAUAUGGAAUGCAAUGACCGAGCCUGACUCAGGCUUCUUACGUAUCCAAACGGAAUUAGGUCAUAACAUAGUUCAAUACAGGAGGAAAAGUAAAAUAAUGCAGUGACCGGUCCUGACUCAAGCUUCCUACGUAUCCAUGUGGAAUCAGGGCAAGCCGUAGUUCAGUACAAUAAAAGAGUAAAAUAUGAAGGGACCAAAUCCCCCUGAGACCUGAAAGUACUAGAAAAGGCCAUUCGCCCUCUCGAGUGAUGUACUUCCCUUGGCGAAGAUAUCUGAUGGACCAUUGGACGUUGUCAUCUCUUAAUUCCCCAAAAACCUUAAACAAAAAUUUUGGAGAUGCCUUCCUCUUAAACUUAUGCAGCAAUAACCACAUGUCAUACGAUGAUAGGAGAUCUACCCUCGUCUGAGGGUCUGGCUGCUCCUUUCUAGGAUUCUUCACUAAGUGUGUCAUCAUCCACCAUUGUAAGAUCAGGUUGCAACCCUGAAUGAAACAAUGCUCGAUUUUACACUUUUCCAAAGCCCGAUAUAUUUUAGCUACGAUCAUGGGAGCUAAGGUGUGAAAUACCUUUUUGGAACCAUAUUUCAUUCCAUAGAAGAGCAUUUACGUCACUAUAAUGACUCUUGGAUGAAUGGUGCCAUUUUAUCCUUGUGAGAACACUGUAGUUCCGAGUAGACCUACUGCAAACGCAAAUGCUCUUUUCUCCUUCCAUUUUGUCUCUGAUUCAAAUUUAUGUCCGAACUUCUUAAAAUCAUUGUAUCGUCCAAACCAGUGAUACAACUCAGGAAAAGAUAUUUUUGCCCCGUCACAUUCCCCCAACCAAGUAUCAUCAUUGAUUGAAAAGGCAUCCUUAAUCUCUUGACGGCUCCAUACAAUAGGACCUAGAACGCUUUUAUCAGGUUUACUUCUUCUCUUGACACACAUAUCAAUGCUCUCAUAACAAGCCAUUACCUUUUCAAUAGUGGGGGUCAAUUCAACGUCCCCAAAGCGAAACAUCAUAUUGCUAUCAACCCAAAAUGUCGUUAGCACAUGGAUCAUUUCAAGCCAAUCAUCCAUCUCUAUGAGCGAAGGCAGGUGCCCGAUAUGUGUACUAAUAAUCUUUUUUAUCUUCUCUGCUCAUAUGAUCCCAUCUUGCUUUCAGGAAGUUAUCAGGUCUGUAACCAUCUUGAAUCUUUCGUAGGGGUAUGGUUGGGCCAUUCCUACACUAAAGCAAACAAAGAUAUGCCUUCCCCCUACCCCGAAGAAUAUUGGAUUAGAUUCAACAAAAAUAUAUUUCUUCAACAUAUAAACAUGGUUCAUCUGUAAAUGACUCGAGGUCAAUAGAUGCAGGAAAAUUUUUCUAGUGGUCCCAUCGAGUAUUGGGUUGUCCUAGGCUCAUGCCUAAAAGAGGGUUUUUAUUUUGCUCUAUCCUAGGUGUCUAGAGUGGGUUUGAACCAGGUUCCCAAGCGGACAACUUGAAUUUGAAAAUACGAACAGCCAUCGUAUGCCUCACAUGCGGAUAAACCGUCGUAUUUUCAAUACUUUAUGUGGAAUUGAACAACAAGGGUCGGGACAUCCAUGAAACACCAAACAAUAUUUCAAAUGGGAAGUAUGCUAUGAAAUGCAAUAGUUUAAUUUUGCAGAAUUUAAACACAUAAGCACAUAAAAGUUUAAACAUUACAACAGUUAGUCAAAAGGAUCGAAUUCAAAUAUUUGGUUAGAACCUAGUUAGAAUCCCCAACAGAGUUCCAAUUUCUAUUUUGUCCCUUUAUAACUAGGAGGGAUGAAAAACAUUGGUUUUGUCCUUUUAAACUAUUUCAAAACUUUAAAAAAAAUUAAAACAAUCUAAGAAAUUACAGAGUCGCCACUUAAUUUAUUUAAAAAAAAAUUAAGAAAACUUUUAAAGAAAGUCCUAAGUCUUAAAACAGAAAAAGACAUAGGCUUUUUAAGAAAAUCCUAGGUAAGAGGUUCUUAUUAACAUUUUAGGAAGAUUUUUAAGGCACCUAAAAUGUCCGCUAACUUGCGGUUAUCCAAACUAUUUAAAAGGGAUUCUUUGACUAACUUAGAGAAAAAAAGUUGAUUGUUUUAGAAAAAGAAAUUGAUAAAGAAAAUAUUUUUUGAGGUUUAUGCAAAAAAAUAGCUUUUUGACAACUUAGUAAGGUAUUUAACUAGUUCUAAGCAAGCUAAAGUCAAAUAGCACGAAAAGGGGAAAGGGGAGAAUGAGAAGACUUAGGCUCGUAAGCCCAAAUCCAUCGAUCUUGUCCUAAUUUAAUUGGGCUUUGGCCCACCUGCACCUAUCCUAAUCUAUUCAUUUGGGCUUUCGGCCCGUCAUCACCUAUCUUAAUCUAAAUAUUGGGUUUUUGGCCCAUAACCUCUCCUAAACUAUAUUUUUGGACCAUUUGGCCCAAAAUUUGCUUCACUUAUAUUAGUUUACAACUUUGGCUUUGAGGCCCAAAUGAACAAAGAGAUAAGUAACUAAAUAAAUAAAUAAAUGAAAUCUGGAAAACAAAAUGAAUAAAAUUGAUACUUUAGAGUCUCUUAGCAACUUUGUCAAUAGGUUUCGACCUAUUUCUUCUUCUCCCAGCUUUUUGUAUCCAUGCGCGAUGUAAUUUGACUUUGGAAUUUCUUUCGCUCUUGACUCGAAAGAUGGGCCUCAUUGGCCCAUGAGGAGUAUGCAAAAGGAUAAGAGUCCAUGUAGGACUUAAAUGAUUUCCAUGUAAAGAAAGAAAAAUAAAGCACAUUAAAACAUAAUCGACAAAAGGAAGGGAGGGAGGAAGGGUAAAAGAAGUCAACACAUGAUCAACCAAAGUGGAAAAACUAAAGUAGUUAAUACAUGAUCAACCAAACAAGGAAAUAAAAUAUAUAAAAAAAAUUAAUACAUGGUUAACUACAUAAACAAAGUAACAGGGAUCCCAACAAAUAGUCAAAAGCCCCUUGGACGUAAUAAGACAUAUUCAUAUCAAUUAAACAAAGAAGGAACAUAUGCAAAAAGGUUGGAUCUUACAUUUUAGCUCAUCCAAUAUUUCUCCAAAAUGGUAAAAAGCAGAUUCAAGAACAUAAAGGCAAAGCAUGUACAAUCUUUCUAACUAACUUGGAACAAUCAUUUAGAUAUAUGGAGAUAAGAUGAUAACACACUUUAAUCAAAAUGAAACAUCAUAGAGACUUAAUAUAUAUAUAUAUAUAUAUAUAUAUAUAAGCAACAACGUGUGUCGAUAAAGCAAAUGAUUUUCAUGCAACGAAAGAAAAAUAAAUCACAUUAAUACAUAAUCGACAAAAGGAAGGGAGGAAAAACUAAAGUAGUUAAUACAUGAUCAACCAAAGAAGAAAGAAAAUAUGAAGAAAAUUAAUACAUGGUUAACUACAUAAACGAAGUAACAAGGAUCCUAACAAAUAGUCAAAAGCCGAUUGGACGUAAUAAGACAUAGUCAUAUAAAUUAAACAAAGGGCCAUAUACAAAAAGGUUGGAUCUUACAUUUCAGCUAAUCCAAUAUUUCUCAAUGGUAAAAAGCAUAUUCAAGAACAUAAAGGCAAAACAUGUAUCAUCUUCCUAACUAACUUGGAACAAUCAUUUAGAUAUGUGGAGAUAAGAUGAUAACAUACUUCAAUCUACUUGAAACAUCAUAGAAACUUAAUAUAUAUAUAAGAAACAACGUGUGUUGAUAAGGAGACUUAUAAAGGAAAGAACCACUUAGUUACUAUACAAGAUGACUAUGGCGAAGACAUAUCAGCUAACUGUUAGUAAUACUCUUACAACAUCAGCACAUUAUCGAGAAAGGGACUCAAUAUACCGAAUUAAUAUCGAACACUUCAAGCAAUCAUGUUAUACUUCUAACUAAACAGAUUAAAGAAGUAAAACACUAGACAUGAGUAGGAUUUUAAUUUGUAAGGAAAACAUAGUGUUAUACUAGGCAAAGACUUCAAGUUACAUCAAACAUAGCACAUCUGAAAAAUGCGACUUUUGACUUACAGUAAUGAGAAACCAGUUUGUACUAAAAAUUUAAGCACAUUAGGACCUUUUACCACAUACGAAUUCCUAAAAAACGACCACAAUAACAAGAAAAAAGACAAAAAACCAAAGUAGGGGAAACUAAAAAUUUUACAAAACUGAAUAGCCCGAGGGAAAUUACAUAUCUACUACAUUCAAACAUGUUUAGACGAUUUUACAUAACAAAAUAGUGUUGGUUAAGUGAAAAAAAUGCAUAAAACACAGGAUUUUGGGUCGUUUAGGGCCUAUUCUAUCCUUUUCUCCACAAGUCAUUAAACUGAAACAUCAAAAUAUCCUAGAGUAAUUCUAAGUUCAUUUCUCCCAUUUGACAUUUAGAGACGAAGAAUGUUUAGAAAACAGUUGCUAUCAACCCAAAGACAACAAAGAAACUAGAAUGUUGAUUAAAUGUAAAGAAACUAUUCUAAGCUACAACCAUUAAAGUCAGGUUUACAGACGAACAAAUAAAAUAAAAGAAAUUCAAGAUAAAAAGAGACAACCAAACUUAAAGCUAUGACAAUGCUCGACUAAAGCAAAACAGGCAGAUAUUAGAUUAAAAGAAGAAAAUGUGUCAAAUUUAGAGAUGACUAUCAUGCUAAAAAUAAAAGACAAUGACCACAGAUUUUAUGCCAAAGAAAACAUCAUCUAAAGCAAAAAGUGAACUUAAAGACUAACUAGAAGUCGUCAAAUCGAGAACGAAAGGAACAUCAUCUCAAACAACAAUCGCAAUCCCUUCACGAUACCCUACGACUCUCAAGGUCUCUACAGUAAACAAUUCCCAGCAUACAAUACACUAAUCAAAACUACUAUGACUACAACUAUUACAACACGACAAUACGAGAAAAGAAGAAUCGAAGACUAACCAUUUCUUGGGCAGCAAAAUGAGACCUCCAUCUUUAUCGAAGUCCGCCACCACCUAAACACGUCGCCAUCAACUCGAGAACUUCGAUUAGAUAUCGAAUUUCAAGAAAAAAAAUUUUACUAGCAGAAUGGACUACUUUUGCUCAAGAUUUUUUUCCCACCCUCAAGGCUUACCAUUUCAACUCAAGAAUGAGCUAUUUAUAGCAAACAAAAUGGGGCAAUUUUUUGAUCUCCCACCGAUAUGGGAGCAAAAAAUUGGGGGUAAUUUUGGAAUUCUCAAUAGAAAUUUUUGAAUUUUGAAAUAGGAUAAGAGAUGAGCUAUAUGAAAUCGUACGGAUGCUGAGAUGGAUUUGAUUUCGUACGUUAUUGUUGAAGUUGUUUGUACGAGUUUGCUGACUGGAAUAGGAUCGGGUCAUCGGGGUUUUUUGGAGUUGUUGACAUUGUUGGGUUACUGUUGCUCAGCUAUUUGUCGUUUCUGCUGAAAUUGUUGUGAUGUUGAUAGCGGUUGGACGCUAUGGGAUUCGCAGGUUAGUAAUUUUGUUUGGUUGUUGUUGUCGCGUAUUAUUGUUGUACUGUUGUUGCGAGUGUUCUGAAGUUGAAGAAGAAAAAGAACGGGUUGGGUCUUGGAUAUUUAGGCUGCUAGUUCGGCUGAUUGGAGUGGGAUGUUAGAGUGUUGUUGAGCCUGGUUGGGUCAGCCGUGGCAUAGUUAAAUUGGUAGAUUUAGGUGAGUUUUGGGGUUAUUUAAAAAAUAAUCC